UCUAGUGAUGAUGGCAAAGAGGAUACACCCGUUCCCAUACCGAACACGGAAGUUAAGCUCUUUAGCGCCGAUGGUAGUUGGGGUCUUCUCCCUGCGAGAGUAGGACGUUGCUAGAC
rnacentral:rRNA from 1 species